rnacentral:tRNA from 1 species
GGGCCCGUCGCCUAGUCAGGAUAGGGUGCUAGCCUCCGAAGCUAGUUGUCGUGGGAUCGAAGCCCACCGGGCCCG